rnacentral:sRNA from 1 species
CAUGAAUGAAUGCUCUUCCUGGUUUUCCAAACUUGAAUAUUAAGAUGAAAUGUAGUGCUGAAACCAGGGAAACUGAUAAGGUGUAGUAGCUAGGCCUUCAGCUUUUAAGUUUGGUUUCAAGCAAAGGAAGAAGAAACAUAGUAGCCCAGUAGGGCUGAGUCUUACUCCCUACCUAACACAGGCUUGGAGGUGGGGUGAGCUGAGAAAGGAGAUGACAAGGCAUCACAGUGAUGGUGGGCCAAGAUGGUUGAGAUGUCCUGAGGUGCUCUGCAAGGAAAGAAAGAAUGGAUCAAAGAAGUCUAUUUCUGUCUAUCCUUUCUCUGUCUCUCUGUCUCUGUCUGUCUCUCUGAGGGUGUCUUUUGUGUGUCAUAUAAACACGUUCACAUGUGUGUGUGCAUGAAUGUAUGAGUGAGUGUGGGGAGGCCAGAGGUCAAUGUUGGGUGUAUUUGAUUACUCUUUGUGUUAUAUUUUGACACAGGGUCUCUCCCCUGAUCCUGGAGCUCCUUGUUUUGGCUGGGUUGGGUGGCCAAUGAACUCCAAGGAUUAGCCUAUUUCUGCACCCUUCAGCCUCAGUGCUGGGUGACGGAUGCCAUGCCCAGGUUUUAUAUGGAUGCUUGGCAUCCCAACACAGGACAUUGUUGAAGGUACCUUCUUGAUUUAUUCUUUGCAUGAUCCUUCCAAAGGAAACUUCCUUUGGGAUAGCCCUUUCAUUCCUUCCAGGCUCAAGGGUAUGAAACUCACUUCAGGAAAAUAUGCACAGAAAUGACGACCUGCUCCUUAGCUUUGUCUCUAAAUAGGACAGCUUUGAAUAGAGCAUCUGCUGAGAGUAGGAGGUAUGUCUGCCUUCAGAUGCUCGAUGAAGCCUAUGUGUGCUCUGUUAAACUUGGCCUGAGUGCAAGCCUAGCUGAGUUUUUCUUACUUCCUGCUUUCCUCCAGUGACUGAAGUCUAGUCCCUGCUUGCUCACUUGAAGAGAUGCUAGAAACAGGCACACACAGGUGCUGACCACCUUGCCAGCUCUGCUUCUCUUCCACAUUCAAGCUUCUCCCUGAAUGGAAAACCACAAGAAUGACGAUCUAAUUGAGUCUGCGCUGGCUGGCUCCCUGCCCACUGCUAACUAGUUUGAUUCAGUUUUUCCAUUGUUGAUAACAAAACACAGGCACUGGAGACUGACUUGACUGGAGCAAUGGAGAAAGAAGAAGCAACAGGCACUCAGACUGGGAUCAGGUUUUUACCUCUUCCUGAAUCAUCUAUACUCACUUCAUCAUGGUCUCCUCUGUAGUCUGGCUCCAU